GACGAACGCUAGCGGCAUGCUUAAUACAUGCAAGUCGAGGGGCAACAGGACUGUAUCAAUACAGUUGCUGGCGACCGGCAAACGGGUGCGGCACACGUACGCAACUUACCCUGAACGGGGGGAUAGCCCGGAGAAACCCGAAUAAAUACCACGUAAUAUAAUGGAAUGGCAUCUCUUUAUUAUUAAUGCGCCGGCGGUUCGGGAUGGGUGUGCGGCGGAUUAUGGCGUCGGUUGAGGUAAAGGCUCACAAAGCCGACGAUCAGUAACUGGUGUGCGAGCACGACCAGUGAGACGGGCACUGGGCCAAGGGCCCCACUGCUACGGGAGGCAGCCGUACGGAAGAUUGGGCAAGGGAGGCAACUCUGACCCGCCCAUGCCGCGUGGAGGAGGAACGCGUUCUGGGUUGUAAACUUCUUUUAGUAGGGCCGAUACCUGUGUAAUCUUACGCAGUUGACGGUACCUUCGGAAUAAGCACCGGCUAACUCCGUG
rnacentral:rRNA from 1 species